rnacentral:rRNA from 1 species
UACGUAGGGGGCGAGCGUUGUCCGGAAUUAUUGGGCGUAAAGAGCUCGUAGGCGGCUUGUCGCGUCGGAUGUGAAAGCCCGGGGCUUAACUCCGGGUCUGCAUUCGAUACGGGCAGACUAGAGUGUGGUAGGGGAGACUGGAAUUCCUGGUGUAGCGGUGAAAUGCGCAGAUAUCAGGAGGAACACCGAUGGCGAAGGCAGGUCUCUGGGCCACUACUGACGCUGAGAAGCGAAAGCAUGGGGGAGCGAACAGGG